rnacentral:tRNA from 1 species
GGUGGAUUGGCUCAGUGGUUAGAGCGUAGGUCUGGUAACCGAAAUAUCGCGGGAUCAAAUCCCGCAGAGGCUG